rnacentral:rRNA from 1 species
ACGUGAAAUUCCGUCGGAAUCUGGGAGGACCAUCUCCUAAGGCUAAAUACUCUCUAGUGACCGAUAGUGAACCAGUACCGUGAGGGAAAGGUGAAAAGCACCCCGGAAGGGGAGUGAAAUAGAACCUGAAACCGUGUGCUUACAAGUAGUCAGAGCCCGUUAAUGGGUGAUGGCGUGCCUUUUGUAGAAUGAACCGGCGAGUUACGAUUUGAUGCAAGGUUAAGCAGUAAAUGUGGAGCCGUAGCGAAAGCGAGUCUGAAUAGGGCGUUUAGUAUUUGGUCGUAGACCCGAAACCAGGUGAUCUACCCUUGGUCAGGUUGAAGUUCAGGUAACACUGAAUGGAGGACCGAACCGACUUACGUUGAAAAGUGAGCGGAUGAACUGAGGGUAGCGGAGAAAUUCCAAUCGAACCUGGAAAUAGCUGGUUCUCUCCGAAAUAGCUUUAGGGCUAGCCUCAAGUGAUGAUUAUUGGAGGUAGAGCACUGUUUGGACGAGGGGCCCCUCUCGGGUUACCGAAUUCAGACAAACUCCGAAUGCCAAUUAAUUUAACUUGGGAGUCAGAACAUGGGUGAUAAGGUCCGUGUUCGAAAGGGAAACAGCCCAGACCACCAGCUAAGGUCCCAAAAUAUAUGUUAAGUGGAAAAGGAUGUGGCGUUGCCCAGACAACUAGGAUGUUGGCUUAGAAGCAGCCAUCAUUUAAAGAGUGCGUAAUAGCUCACUAGUCGAGUGACACUGCGCCGAAAAUGUACCGGGGCUAAACAUAUUACCGAAGCUGUGGAUUGUCCUUUGGACAAUGGUAGGAGAGCGUUCUAAGGGCGUUGAAGCAUGAUCGUAAGGACAUGUGGAGCGCUUAGAAGUGAGAAUGCCGGUGUGAGUAGCGAAAGACGGGUGAGAAUCCCGUCCACCGAUUGACUAAGGUUUCCAGAGGAAGGCUCGUCCGCUCUGGGUUAGUCGGGUCCUAAGCUGAGGCCGACAGGCGUAGGCGAUGGAUAACAGGUUGAUAUUCCUGUACCACCUAUAAUCGUUUUAAUCGAUGGGGGGACGCAGUAGGAUAGGCGAAGCGUGCGAUUGGAUUGCACGUCUAAGCAGUAAGGCUGAGUAUUAGGCAAAUCCGGUACUCGUUAAGGCUGAGCUGUGAUGGGGAGAAGACAUUGAGUCUUCGAGUCGUUGAUUUCACACUGCCGAGAAAAGCCUCUAGAUAGAAAAUAGGUGCCCGUACCGCAAACCGACACAGGUAGUCAAGAUGAGAAUUCUAAGGUGAGCGAGCGAACUCUCGUUAAGGAACUCGGCAAAAUGACCCCGUAACUCGGGAGAAGGGGUGCUCUUUAGGGUUAACGCCCAGAAGAGCCGCAGUGAAUAGGCCCAAGCGACUGUUUAUCAAAAACACAGGUCUCUGCUAAACCGUAAGGUGAUGUAUAGGGGCUGACGCCUGCCCGGUGCUGGAAGGUUAAGAGGAGUGGUUAGCUUCUGCGAAGCUACGAAUCGAAGCCCCAGUAAACGGCGGCCGUAACUAUAACGGUCCUAAGGUAGCGAAAUUCCUUGUCGGGUAAGUUCCGACCCGCACGAAAGGCGUAACGAUUUGGGCACUGUCUCAACGAGAGACUCGGUGAAAUCAUAGUACCUGUGAAGAUGCAGGUUACCCGCGACAGGACGGAAAGACCCCGUGGAGCUUUACUGUAGCCUGAUAUUGAAAUUCGGCACAGCUUGUACAGGAUAGGUAGGAGCCUUUGAAACGUGAGCGCUAGCUUACGUGGAGGCGCUGGUGGGAUACUACCCUAGCUGUGUUGGCUUUCUAACCCGCACCACUUAUCGUGGUGGGAGACAGUGUCAGGCGGGCAGUUUGACUGGGGCGGUCGCCUCCUAAAAGGUAACGGAGGCGCUCAAAGGUUCCCUCAGAAUGGUUGGAAAUCAUUCAUAGAGUGUAAAGGCAUAAGGGAGCUUGACUGCGAGACCUACAAGUCGAGCAGGGUCGAAAGACGGACUUAGUGAUCCGGUGGUUCCGCAUGGAAGGGCCAUCGCUCAACGGAUAAAAGCUACCCCGGGGAUAACAGGCUUAUCUCCCCCAAGAGUUCACAUCGACGGGGAGGUUUGGCACCUCGAUGUCGGCUCAUCGCAUCCUGGGGCUGUAGUCGGUCCCAAGGGUUGGGCUGUUCGCCCAUUAAAGCGGUACGCGAGCUGGGUUCAGAACGUCGUGAGACAGUUCGGUCCCUAUCCGUCGUGGGCGUAGGAAAUUUGAGAGGAGCUGUCCUUAGUACGAGAGGACCGGGAUGGACAUACCUCUGGUGUACCAGUUGUCGUGCCAACGGCAUAGCUGGGUAGCUAUGUGUGGACGGGAUAAGUGCUGAAAGCAUCUAAGCAUGAAGCCCCCCUCAAGAUGAGAUUUCCCAACUUCGGUUAUAAGAUCCCUCAAAGAUGAUGAGGUUAAUAGGUUCGAGGUGGAAGCAUGGUGACAUGUGGAGCUGACGAAUACUAAUCGAUCGAAGACUUAAUCAAAA